rnacentral:rRNA from 1 species
AUUGAACGCUGGCGGCAUGCCUUACACAUGCAAGUCGAACGGUAACAGGUUAAGCUGACGAGUGGCGAACGGGUGAGUAAUGUAUCGGAACGUGCCCAGUCGUGGGGGAUAACUGCUCGAAAGAGCAGCUAAUACCGCAUACGACCUGAGGGUGAAAGCGGGGGAUCGCAAGACCUCGCGCGAUUGGAGCGGCCGAUAUCAGAUUAGGUAGUUGGUGAGGUAAAGGCUCAUCAAGCCGACGAUCUGUAGCUGGUCUGAGAGGACGACCAGCCACCCUGGGACUGAGACACGGCCCAGACUCCUACGGGAGGCAGCAGUGGGGAAUUUUGGACAAGGGGCGCAAGCCUGAUCCAGCCAGGCCGCGUGCGGGAAGAAGGCCUUCGGGUUGUAAACCGCUUUUGUCAGGGAAGAAAAGGUUCUGGCUAAUACCUGGGACUCAUGACGGUACCUGAAGAAUAAGCACCGGCUAACUACGU